rnacentral:lncRNA from 1 species
AUAUUUCUAGACGAGGAAUAAUUUUAGUACUUGUCUUUCCCUUCUAUCCAAUGAUUGAACAAAAAAAAAGACCAAUUCAUUCUUUUUCUAAUCAAGGGGAACAUUACUAAUUCUUAAUUCUUUCUAAUUCUUAAUUCUAUAAGGUUGAAUAAAAAUUCGAUUGACCAUUUGAUAUAAUUGCUAUGCUUAGCGUGUGACUCGUAGGUUUUGUUAGGGUUAGGAUUACAAAAACCCAGCCCACAUAGUAUGAACUAAAAACUAUAGAACUAAUAACCAACCCAUCACUUCGCAUUAUCUGGAUCUAAAGAACCAGUCAAGAUAUGAUAUAUAGGUCAUAUCUUUGUAGCAACUGAAAUCUUUUGCAUAAACAAAAAAAUCUGCUUCUAAGUUGUAAAGCAAAAUAGACAAAAAAGAUGUGGAUAAAGGGAAGGAUGAGAGAAAGAGAGAAAAAGAAUACCAAUGAUAUAAAAUUCCAAUAUGUAAGGUCUAUGAGUAAUCUCAUAAAAGACAGUGUAAUAAAGCAUCAAUACGCAUUCAUACCAUACUAAAAAGAAUCUUCUUAUAGAAAUAGAACAAAAAAUCAAGAGCUUCGAUCCAAUAAAGACAAAGAAGAUUGACUCAAGAAACAAUUUGAUUCUGAGCUCCAUUGAAGAAUUCGGACCUAACCAUUAAGUAAGAAGUGAUUGGAACGACGGAACUUGUGAAUGCAAAAGAUUCUAUUGAAAAAGGAAUCUUAAUGAUUCACUGGUCGGGAUGGCGGAACGAACCAUAGAUUAGUUCAUGUAUUCUGAGAUUUGAGAAGUCACGAGUUAACCCUACAAAUGAAAUAGGGAUUGAAAGAGUAAAUAUUCGCCCGCGAAAACUUUUUUAUUGCAAAAUUUAGGACAAUACAAUAAAGGACAAAAUAAGGAUUUGGUAUAAUAAUACAAUUUUUUUUAUUUCUCUUUAGAAAAGUACAAAGUUUAGUUAUCUAUUCAAACAAGAUAUACCAAUUACUAAUAGAUUUAAUGAAAUCUCAAAGAAGCCCACGUUCAAGGUAUUACUCAGUAAAUACAUAUCUUAUAUAUCUUAACUUAAGAUUUACUAUUCUAGCUUAAUUCAAAUAGAAUUUUUUUGAAUCCUUUUAUUUGCGGGAGCUGGAUGAGAAGAAACUCUCACGUCCGGUUCUGUAGUAGAGAUGGAAUUCAGAACCAACCAUCAACUAUAACCCCAAAAGAACCAGAUUCCGUAAACAACAUAGAGGCAGAAUGAAGGGAAUAUCUUAUCGAG